UACGAAGGGGGCUAGCGUUGCUCGGAAUCACUGGGCGUAAAGCGCACGUAGGCGGGCUCUUAAGUCGGUGGUGAAAUCCUGGAGCUCAACUCCAGAACUGCCUCCGAUACUGAGAGUCUUCGAGUUCGGGAGAGGUGAGUGGAACUGCGAGUGUAGAGGUGAAAUUCGUAGAUAUUCGGAAGAACACCAGUGGCGAAGGCGACUCACUGGCCCGUUACUGACGCUGAUGCGCGAAAGCGUGGGGAGCAAACAGG
rnacentral:rRNA from 1 species